AACGAACGCUGGCGGCAUGCCUAACACAUGCAAGUCGAACGAGACCUUCGGGUCUAGUGGCGCACGGGUGCGUAACGCGUGGGAACCUGCCCUUAGGUUCGGAAUAACUCCCCGAAAGGGGUGCUAAUACCGGAUAAUGUCUUCGGACCAAAGAUUUAUCGCCUUUGGAUGGGCCCGCGUUGGAUUAGCUAGUUGGUAGGGUAAAAGCCUACCAAGGCGACGAUCCAUAGCUGGUCUGAGAGGAUGAUCAGCCACACUGGGACUGAGACACGGCCCAGACUCCUUCGGGAGGCAGGAGGGGGGAAUAUUGGACAAUGGGCGAAAGCCUGAUCCAGCAAUGCCGCGUGAGUGAUGAAGGCCUUAGGGUUGUAAAGCUCUUUUACCCGGGAUGAUAAUGACAGUACCGGGAGAAUAAGCUCCGGCUAACUCCGUG
rnacentral:rRNA from 1 species